rnacentral:misc_RNA from 1 species
GAUGAAGAACGCAGCGAAAUGCGAUAAGUAAUGAGAAUUGCCGAAUUCAGUGGAUCAUCGAAUCUUUGAACGCACAUUGCGCCCCUUGGUAUUCCGAGGGGCAUGCCUGUUCGAGCGUCAUUUCAACCCUCAAGCUCUGCUUGGUCUUGGGCCUGGCCGUGAUGGCCGGUCUUAAAAUCAGUGGCGGUGCCGUCGCAGGCUCCAAGCGUAGUACAUCUCUCGCUCUGGAAACUUGGCGGUGCCUGCCAGACAACCCCUAAUUGUCUCUUUCGGUUGACCUCGGAUCAGGUAGGGAUACCCGCUGAACUUAAGCAUAUCAAUAAGCGGAGGA